GUGAGGAAUAUUGGUCAAUGGCCUGACGGCUGAACCAGCUAUUUGGGGGAAUGAAACUAUAUAUCUUAUAUUGCAUAUAUAUGUAUCGACUACGUCGUAUAAAGUUCUAAAUAGAUAAUUGAUUAUGACACAUUUCUAUUUAUGUGUCUCGACCAAUUCUUGUGCCAGCAGUCGCGGCAACACAAGUGAGACUAGUGUUAUUCAUCUUUAUUAGGUUUAAAGGGUACCUAGACCGUUGUUUUUUAUAUAAAAGCAUACAAAUAUAACUAGAGUUUUAGAGGAGAGGUAAAUAUUAGGACUAUUGGUGUAGAGAUGAAAUUUUUUGAUACUAAUGGAAUGGAUAAUGGCGAAGGCGAUCCUCUAUAUAAAAACUGACGUUAAGGGACGAAGGCUUGGGGAGCGAAUAGGAUUAGAUACCCUAGUAGUCCAGGCAGAAAAUUAUGAAUGUUAUAGACUAAGGAGAUAAUUAGUGUAUAAAUUAAAGUGUAAGCAUUCCACCUCAAGAGUAAUGUGGCAACGCAGGAACUGAAAUCAUUAGACCGUUUGUGAAACCAGUAGUGAAGUAUGUUAUUUAAUUCG
rnacentral:rRNA from 1 species